rnacentral:lncRNA from 1 species
UAUGGUACCAAAAUGAGUCGUAUAUAUUAGUAACUCAAGCGAAACAAGUAAUAUAUUUGAAGGAUUUAAAGUAUCGAGGUAAUUGGCAUGUCAUACAAAAAAUAAUACCUAGAGACGUAUAUGACAUACCAACUCGAUUAGAGAUAGAUGAAAUUUUAGAUUUACAUGAAGAUGAAGAUUUUCAGCAAGAAGAACAAAUAUUAGCCGAGUUUUUGGUUGAUGAAGAACUUGUAACGGCACCUUUGAAUAGGGC